rnacentral:rRNA from 1 species
AGAGUUUGAUCAUGGCUCAGAAUCAACGCUGGCGGCGUGCCUCAGACAUGCAAGUCGAACGAUUAAGACUCUCUUCGGAGAGUGUAUAAAGUGGCGCACGGGUGAGUAACACGUAGGUAAUGUACCUUUGAGUGGGGAAUAACUUAGGGAAACUUAAGCUAAUACCGCAUAAUGCAGCGGCUCGACAUCGAGACAGUUGUUAAAGGAGCAAUUCGCUUAAAGAGCAGCCUGCGGCAGAUUAGCUAGUUGGUAAGGUAAUGGCUUACCAAGGCUACGAUCUGUAACCGACCUGAGAGGGUGGUCGGUCACACUGACACUGAAUAACGGGUCAGACUCCUACGGGAGGCAGCAGUCGGGAAUUUUGGGCAAUGGGCGAAAGCCUGACCCAGCAACGCCGCGUGAAGGAUGAAGUAUUUCGGUAUGUAAACUUCGUAAGAAUAGGAAGAAUAAAUGACGGUACUAUUUGUAAGGUCCGGCUAACUACGUGCCAGCAGCCGCGGUAAUACGUAGGGACCAAGCGUUGUUCGGAUUUACUGGGCGUAAAGGGCGCGUAGGCGGUUUGUCAAGUCAGUUGUGAAAUCUCCGAGCUUAACUCGGAACGGUCAACUGAUACUGUCAAACUAGAGUACAGAAGGGGCAAUCGGAAUUCUUGGUGUAGCGGUGAAAUGCGUAGAUAUCAAGAGGAACACCUGAGGUGAAGACGGGUUGCUGGGCUGAUACUGACGCUGAGGCGC